rnacentral:rRNA from 1 species
UACGUAGGGUGCAAGCGUUACUCGGAAUUACUGGGCGUAAAGCGUGCGCAGGCGGUUUUGUAAGUCAGAUGUGAAAUCCCCGGGCUUAACCUGGGAACUGCAUUGGUGACUGGCGGGCUAGAGUAUGGCAGAGGGGGGUAGAAUUCCACGUGUAGCAGUGAAAUGCGUAGAGAUGUGGAGGAAUACCGAUGGCGAAGGCAGCCCCCUGGGCCAAUACUGACGCUCAUGCACGAAAGCGUGGGGAGCAAACAGG